CGGAUUAGAUACCCUGGUAGUCCACGCCCUAAACGAUGACAACUAGGUGUUGGGGAAGCGAUUUCUCAGUACCGCAGCUAACGCGUGAAGUUGUCCGCCUGGGGAGUACGGUCGCAAGAUUAAAACUCAAAGGAAUUGACGGGGACCCGCACAAGCGGUGGAUGAUGUGGAUUAAUUCGAUGCAACGCGAAUAACCUUACCUACCCUUGACAUGUACGGAAGCCCGCUGAGAGGCGGGUGUGCCCGAAAGGGAGCCGUAACACAGGUGCUGCAUGGCUGUCGUCAGCUCGUGUCGUGAGAUGUUGGGUUAAGUCCCGCAACGAGCGCAACCCUUGUCCCUAGUUGCUACGCAAGGGCACUCUAGGGAGACUGCCGGUGACAAACCGGAGGAAGGUGGGGAUGACGUCAAGUCCUCAUGGCCCUUAUGGGUAGGGCCUCACACGUCAUACAAUGGCCGGUACAGAGGGUUGCCAAACCGCGAGGUGGAGCCAAUCCCAGAAAGCCGGUCGUAGUCCGGAUUGCAGUCUGCAACUCGACUGCAUGAAGUCGGAAUCGCUAGUAAUCGCGGAUCAGCAUGUCGCGGUGAAUACGUUCCCGGGUCUUGUACACACCGCCCGUCACACCAUGGGAGUGGGGUGCACCAGAAGUAUGUACGCUAACCGCAAGGAGGCCGCUUACCACGGUACGCUUCAUGACUGGGGUGAAGUCGUAACAAG
rnacentral:rRNA from 1 species